GUGAAUGUGUCUGUGUAUGUUACUAUAUAUGGAUCCCAAUUCCAUCAAAACCGAUAUGGAAUCCGCCUUGCGAAUGGAGUUGCUGAAACCUUAGACACGAAGUCCAUUUCGCAGCUGGAGGACUCGGCCAGUAUAUAAACGAGCUCCGCGAUGGGUAGGAAAAGGAAGUGAGGACUCACAUGGCAGUGGUAGACGUAACCCAGGCACAGCAGUGGCAUCAGCUGCUUCUCGGAUAACCUAACUACAUGAUGAAGAUAGAGAUUUGAAUCCAGGAUUUUACGAUGACCUAUUAUCAAGGUUUUUUAUCAUCUAGGUGUCGGAGGGGGUGCGCUUGAGGGUGGCGGCGACGUCGGAGACCUUGCGGCCGAGCAUGAGGGAGGCCAUCAUCUCGUCGUUACGGCGGAUGUUCUCCAGCCGCCGGCGCUCGUACUCCGUCAGGGUAUCCGACGCCAUAAGCGAGUCGGCGACGAGAGAGAGAGAGAGAGGGCUUAUUAUCAUCUAAACUAGUCAACCCCAAAGUCAAAUAUCUGUCAUUCCCACCUACACCAAUUGCGUACCUAUAUAUAGAUUUGAGUCAUAUCCCUUUUCUUAAUAUAUAAUCAUCAAACCAAUAUUUGAAAUAUUAGUACUAUGGUCCACAUGUCACAUAGUUCUAUCUUGUAUGGAUUAGGAUCUAUCAUUAGGCUAGCAAAUAUUUUUUAUUUUAUUUUAUUUAAAAAAAAUCAAAAUUAUGAUUAAUUGUAAAUAAUUUUAAUUAAUAAUGUGAUAUGAGGAUGCAUAUUUCUACAAAAUUUCCAAAGGUAGGUUAGUCCCAUAUUAAUGAUCGGUUUGAUGCAGAAGGCCGAGCCGGGUUACGUCUGACAUUGCCCUGCGAGUGUUCAUCACCUGCGCCACCUGUUUAACGGGUUAGGCAUCGUGCCAUUUCGAAUCAACGAGACUGCUCUUCGAUGGCUACAUGUCGAACGAAGCACUUCCUAUGUGCUUCGACCACAGUCUUAGUAGGAUCACCAAGGCAGUGACAACAGAUUUUACAUGGUCGGGGAUGAAGAGAGCGUGAAGCCCAUAAAUCGAGACACAUCAACAUCUAAUACGAUUACAGGAAGUUUAUACGGAAUUCGUCUCCUUCACAUCUAUUGCUUGGAUCGAUGACCAUAAAUCAACGUUGCACGUUGCACUUCACCGCGCUGUUCUUCUGCGUCAUGCACGCCUUGAACGCAUCCAGAUCCACCAACGGUCUCGCCCUCGCCCUCACCGCCUGAAACGUCGCUAGAUGCCGGUGAUCAAGUGGAUGGUUGUCCCCCCCGUCAGGCUGAUCACCUCCCACACCUCGGUGUUCCUCGAUUUCAGCAUCUUCGUCGUUGGGUCUUUGAAUCUCUUCCCGUUGAUGUACAGGUGUGUCGGGUUGCUCGUCGCGCUCUGUGUAGUCAUACAUCACGAUGUACCUCGUCACCAUCGCCUUCCUCUUGUCCACUACCAAAUAGUUUUGAUUAAGCUUGACGGUAUCCUCGGUUCAUUCAUAGUCUUCUUCGAUGAUAGGAUGAACUUGAUCACCUUGCUGUUGAGGGUGCUCGUCGGAGUUUUGUUAGGGUACGAAUAUGGUGCGUUGUUAGUCAAUAAAAUCGUUGAGGUGUUUGACUUGGAGAA